CCUACGGGGUGCAGCAGUGAGGAAUAUUGGUCAAUGGACGCAAGUCUGAACCAGCCAUGCCGCGUGCAGGAAGACGGCUCUAUGAGUUGUAAACUGCUUUUGUACGAGGGUAAACGCAGAUACGCGUAUCUGUCUGAAAGUAUCGUACGAAUAAGGAUCGGCUAACUCCGUGCCAGCAGCCGCGGUAAUACGGAGGAUUCAAGCGUUAUCCGGAUUUAUUGGGUUUAAAGGGUGCGUAGGCGGUCGGAUAAGUUAGAGGUGAAAUCCCGAGGCUCAACUUCGGAAUUGCCUCUGAUACUGUUCGGCUAGAGAGUAGUUGCGGUAGGCGGAAUGUAUGGUGUAGCGGUGAAAUGCUUAGAGAUCAUACAGAACACCGAUUGCGAAGGCAGCUUACCAAGCUACUUCUGACGUUGAGGCACGAAAGCGUGGGUAGCAAACAGGAUUAGAUACCCUGGUAGUC
rnacentral:rRNA from 1 species